rnacentral:rRNA from 1 species
GAAUUACAUAUGACAUUUUCUGCUCAAUGAUUUUAAAUAGCCGCAGUACUCUGACUGUGCAAAAGUAGCAUAAAAAUUUGGCUUAUAAUUGAAGUCUAGAAUGAAUGAAUAAAUGGGGAGUAGCUUUAUCAAUAAAGGUAAAUGAAAUUACUUAAUACGUGCAAAUACGUACAGCUAAAUAAAAGACAAGAAAAACCUAGACAUUUUUAUAAUUUUUAAAAUAUACGUUUUUGCUGGGACGGCAUAGUAACAUUUAACCUACAUUAUUUAACUAGAAGUGACUACAGAAUGAAUAAAUUACUCUAGGGAUAACAGCAUAAUUUAGUAUAGUUUGUGACCUCGAUGUUGGAUUAGGAAGUUGAAGUUUAGAAGAUUUACAAAUUUGCUCUGUUCGAGCAGUAUAUC